CUGCUCGGGGUUAAGCUGGGCAUCGGUCAGCGAGUGAUCUGCUUCAGACCUGCUCAUAUUCAGUCUUUCGUGGACAAGCUGACAUAAUAUGGACAGAUAUCAUUCCAAGAGAAUUCUUUUUCUCUGCAGAUCUGUAGAAGAUAGAGCCAGGAAGAAAGGAGAAACUGCACAGAACAAGGCAUUCCCUGGCCACUGCUUUAUAGAUGGAACCACAGGAAGAUGUAUCACACUAAUAACAGAUGGAAAUUUCAAGCCAACUUAGGGCAUGUCUGUAAAAAACCUCUGCUAGCUUUGCCCAGCAUACACCUAAAACUGUAAAAACAAUUUUAAAACUCCUUUUAUUACUUUUGUUUAAUGACAGUGAAAGACAAUACUAUUGACAGAUGUCAAUACUAGUCAAUUGUCAAUACUAUUUGCUUCCUCUGUCAUUAAGAAAUAAUAACAAUAACAGAAAAUGUCAUAAUAAAACUCACAAUAUUCUUUUCCUGAUUACUACCAUUAUUCGCUAUCUAAAGAAGUCACAUGUAUUUUAUUUUCUUGUAUAACACCAAUUUAGUUAUAAGAAAUGACUGACAAUAUUCAGUUAAAGUGUACACCUAGUAAACCAUAUAUGUGAACAAUA